UUCCCAGUGGGAAGGCUGUGGGACGCAAGAACAGUUCUUCCCGCCCCCUAAAGCCGAUGGCUUCCAGUCCCCUGAGGAGCAAUCCCUUUUCGAGGCUCCUUAGACCAGAUGAGCAACGUCUCCCCAGCUUUGGACGCCGCGGCAGGAGGAGCCGUGUUAUUGGUCAGAAGGCCGGGCGGGACGGCAGACGAGGCUGCUCGCUGGGAACAACUAUUUAGCCGUCCUGACGCAAGUCAUCCACCUUUUCCGAACUUUAAUCUCCCACCUCUUAAGUCUUAGGAGCAUGAAUCGGCACGCCCAGGCUUGCUAAGAUGACCCAAAUGCAAAUGAGAGCCUGACCAAAACAUUUUUAAACUCUGUAUACGGAGUUAUUUUGAAAUCAGGACCAGAGCUAACUCUGCAGGAAGAAGGAAAAAACUUGAAAAAGAGCAUGUCCACAAAACAUCCCGUGACCUACAGAAGAGAAAACAGACCAUCAAGCUAGAAGGAGAAAAGACUGAUUGAGGGGAAGAUCAGAGUGGAUGAGAGAAUCCACUAUCCUCCAUGGAGACAGACACCGUCAAGGACAAGCACCUGGAUCA